rnacentral:rRNA from 1 species
CAGUCGCCGCGGGAAAACGAAGGGGGCUAGCGUUGUUCGGAAUUACUGGGCGUAAAGCGCACGUAGGCGGAUAUUUAAGUCAGGGGUGAAAUCCCAGAGCUCAACUCUGGAACUGCCUUUGAUACUGGGUAUCUUGAGUAUGGAAGAGGUGAGUGGAAUUCCGAGUGUAGAGGUGAAAUUCGUAGAUAUUCGGAGGAACACCAGUGGCGAAGGCGGCUCACUGGUCCAUUACUGACGCUGAGGUGCGAAAGCGUGGGGAGCAAACAGGAUUAGAUACCCGAGUAGUCCCUGUCUCUUAUAC